AAUGAACGCUGGCGGCGUGCCUAAUACAUGCAAGUCGAGCGGAAACACUUCGGGUGUCGAGCGGCGGACGGGUGAGUAACGCGUGGGAACAUACCCCAGACUGAGGGAUAAGCGUCAGAAAUGACGUCUAAUACCGCAUAACCUCUACGGAGAAAAGCUUCGGCGGUUUGGGAAUGGCCUGCGUGAGAUUAGCUAGUUGGUAAGGUAAUGGCUUACCAAGGCAAUGAUCUCUAGCUGGUUUGAGAGGAUGAUCAGCCACACUGGAACUGAGACACGGUCCAGACUUCUACGGAAGGCAGCAGUAGGGAAUAUUCCACAAUGGGCGAAAGCCUGAUGGAGCAACGCCGCGUGCAGGAUGAAUGCCUUCGGGUUGUAAACUGCUUUUAUAAGUGAGGAUUUGACAGUAACUUAUGAAUAAGGAUCGGCUAACUCCGUG
rnacentral:rRNA from 1 species